rnacentral:rRNA from 1 species
AUACGUAGGGGGCAAGCGUUAUCCGGAUUUACUGGGCGUAAAGGGCGUGUAGGCGGUCUUGCAAGUCAGAAGUGAAAUUCCUGAGCUCAACUCGGGCGCUGCUUCUGAAACUGCAGGACUUGAGUGCUGGAGGGGCUAGCGGAAUUCCUAGUGGAGCGGUAAAAUGCGCAGAUAUUAGGAAGAACACCGGUGGCGAAGGCGGCUAUCUGGACAGUAACUGACGCUGAGGCGCGAAAGCGUGGGGAGCAAACAGGAUUAGAUACCCUGGUAGUCCACGCUGUAAACGAUGGAUACUAGGUGUGGGGGGUCUGACCCCUUCCGUGCCGGAGUUAACACAAUAAGUAUCCCACCUGGGGAGUACGAUCGCAAGAUUGAAACUCAAAUGAAUUGACGGGG